GACUUUUUGAACACAUUUCAUCCGGUUCUGUCCUUUUUCAUAACAGGUUUCCAGUUGCAAGUGAGAAAGUCGGUGAUGUCGUUCUUUUUGUACCGUGUUUAUAAUCACAUAUCAAACAUCCACGUCACAUGUUCAAUAACCACAUAUAUACACCAAAUGUUCUAUUCCGUAUCGCUGAAUAGUAUAAAAUUAUAACUCCACUCAUAACCCUAAAUACUAAACAUUAUCCCAACCCCUAUAUAUUGAACCCUAAAUCUCAAUCACUAUGCAACACCUAAGUACUAUACAUUACCCGAGCCCCAACAUCUAAAAAAAAUAAUAUCCGGUAAUAUACAUAUGCACGUAGUGUUCUAUUCCAUGUCACUGAAAUAGUAUAGGAGGACGCAACAACAUCCACAAUCCUUAAAUACUAAACACUACCCCCAAUUCAUAAAUAUGAAACUCUAAACCCUAAUUACUAAACUCUAAUUAUUAAACUCUAAACCCAAAUAUAAAUUAUAAACCCAAGUAUAAAUCCUAAACCCAAAUAGAAUGGAAGAAAAUACAUAGCAUAGUACAUAUUAGUGAAAUUAUGAAACAUAUAUGAUUUCAUGGAAUAAGUUAAUGUUGAUCCCAACCAUACCCCUCACCUACUAAAUACUAAAUCCAAAAUCCUAAUCACUAAACCAUAAACCCAAAUAUAAACCCUAAAACCAAAUAGAAUGGAACAAAAUACAUAGCAUAGUACAUAUAUAUUGGUGAAAUUAUAAAACAUAUAUGAUUGCAUGGAAUAAGUUAAUGUUGACCUCAACCAUACCCCUCACCUACUAAAUACUAAAACCAAAACCCUAAUCACUAAAC
rnacentral:lncRNA from 1 species